rnacentral:rRNA from 1 species
GACGAACGCUGGCGGCGUGCCUAAUACAUGCAAGUUGAGCGCUGACGGUUGGUCCUUGUACCAACUGGAUGAGCAGCGAACGGGUGAGUAACGCGUGGGGAAUCUGCCUUUGAGCGGGGGACAACAUUUGGAAACGAAUGCUAAUACCGCAUAAAAACUUUAAACACAAGUUUUAAGUUUGAAAGAUGCAAUUGCAUCACUCAAAGAUGAUCCCGCGUUGUAUUAGCUAGUUGGUGAGGUAAAGGCUCACCCAGGCGAUGAUACAUAGCCGACCUGAGAGGGGGAGCGGCCACACUGGGACGGAGACACGGCCCAAACUCCUACGGGAGACAGCAGUAGGGGAUCUUCGGGAAUGGACGAAAGUGUGACCGAGCGACGCCGCGUGAGUGAAGAAGGUUGUCGGGUCGUAAAACUCAUUUGGUAGAGAAGAGCGUAGGUGAGGGUGGAAAGCUCAUCAAGUGACAGUAACUACCCAAAAAGGGACGGCUAACUACGUG